GUUGGAGUUCAUAUAGGUCGACUUGAAUCUGCAUUAAACCAACCGCACACUUCAAUGAAGGUGAAGGAAAUCAAAGAAAAUCUCAAAGGAAAGAAACUUAUUCUUGGUGUUGAUGACAUGGACAUCUUUAAAGGUAUUGGUCUGAAGUUAUUAGCUAUGGAACAGCUCUUGAAACAGCAUCCAGAGUUAAGGGGCAAUGUUGUUCUGGUGCAAAUUCUAAAUCCGGCACGGAGCA
rnacentral:misc_RNA from 1 species